AUAAUCAGAUUUCCUCGGCAGUUAACUGCAGCCGGGUUUCUUAAACUUCGGCAGUUAACUGCCAAGGGGCAA
rnacentral:pre_miRNA from 1 species